rnacentral:rRNA from 1 species
GGGACCUGCAUCCAGCUUGCCGCGUGAGUGAAGAAGGCCUUCGGGUUGUAAAGCUCUUUCGGCCGGGACGAAAUCGCUCUGGUGAAUAUCCAGGGUGGAUGACGGUACCGGAACAAGAAGCACCGGCUAACUACGUGCCAGCAGCCGCGGUAAUACGUAGGGUGCGAGCGUUAAUCGGAAUCACUGGGCGUAAAGCGUGCGCAGGCGGUUUUGUAAGUCACACGUGAAAGCCCCGGGCUUAACCUGGGAAUUGCGUUUGAAACUGCAAGGCUAGAGUACGGCAGAGGGGGGUAGAAUUCCACGUGUAGCAGUGAAAUGCGUAGAUAUGUGGAGGAAUACCGAUGGCGAAGGCAGCCCCCUGGGCUAGUACUGACGCUCAUGCACGAAAGCGUGGGGAGCAAACAGGAUUAGAUACCCUGGUAAUCCACGCCCUAAACUAUGACAACUAGUUGUUGGGGAUUAACAUCCUUAGUAACGCAGCUAACGCGUGAAGUUGUCCGACUGGGGAGUACGGUCGCAAGAUUAAAACUCAAAGGAAUUGACGGGGGCCCGAACAAGCGGUGGAUGAUGUGGUUUAAUUCGACGCAAAGCGAAAAACCUUACCUAACCUUGACAUGCCAGGAACCUCGCAGAGAUGUGAGGGUGCUCGAAA